rnacentral:rRNA from 1 species
GGGUUGUGAGGUUAAGCGACUAAGCGUACACGGUGGAUGCCCUGGCAGUCAGAGGCGAUGAAGGACGUGCUAAUCUGCGAUAAGCGUCGGUAAGGUGAUAUGAACCGUUAUAACCGGCGAUUUCCGAA